UACGAAGGGUGCAAGCGUUAAUCGGAAUUACUGGGCGUAAAGGGUGCGUAGGCGGUUGUUUAAGUCUGUCGUGAAAUCCCCCGGGCUCAACCUGGGAAUGGCGAUGGAUACUGGACAGCUAGAGUGUGUCAGAGGAUGGUGGAAUUCCCGGUGUAGCGGUGAAAUGCGUAGAGAUCGGGAGGAACAUCAGUGGCGAAGGCGGCUCUCUGGGGACGGUACUGACGCUGAGACGCGAAAGCGUGGGGAGCGAACAGG
rnacentral:rRNA from 1 species